rnacentral:misc_RNA from 1 species
GAUGAAGAACGCAGCGAAAUGCGAUAAGUAGUGUGAAUUGCAGAAUUCAGUGAAUCAUCGAAUCUUUGAACGCACAUUGCGCCCCUUGGUAUCCCGAGGGGCAUGCCUGUUCGAGCGUCAUUUCACCACUCAAGCCUGGCUUGGUGUUGGGCGACGUCCCCUUUGGGGACGCGCCUCGAAACGCUUGGCGGCGUGGCACCGGCUUUAAGCGUAGCAGAAUCUUUCGCUUUGGAAGUCGGGGCCCCGUCUGCCGGAAGACCUACUCGCAAGGUUGACCUCGGAUCAGGCAGGGAUACCCGCUGAACUUAAGCAUAUCAAUAAGCGGAGGA